GCAUAUCAAUAAGCGGAGGAAAAGAAACUAACAAGGAUUCCCUUAGUAACGGCGAGUGAAGCGGGAAGAGCUCAAAUUUGAAAUCUUCAAGGUUCUACCUUGACGAAUUGUAGUUUAAAGAAGUGUUUUCUGUUAGAUGAGUAGCAAAAGUUCCUUGGAAUGGGACAUCAUAGAGGGUGAGAAUCCCGUAUUUGGUUAUUCAUUCUAGCUUUGUGAUACACUUUCAAAGAGUCGGAUUGUUUGGGAAUGCAGUCCAAAAUGGGUGGUAAAUUUCAUCUAAAGCUAAAUAUUGGCGAGAGACCGAUAGCGAACAAGUACCGUGAGGGAAAGAUGGAAAGAACUUUGAAAAGAGAGUUAAACAGUACGUGAAAUUGUCAAAAGGGAAGCGUUUGACACCAGUGUUGUUUUUCCGAAAAUCAAUUACGAAUGGCUUGAUUUUGUGUUGUAUUGACCUUAUCAGCUUUCUGCACUUUUUUCGAGUCUUUCUUAAUGCACUUUUCGGUUAACAAGUCAACAUCAAUUUCUUUUGUUGUAAAAGAGUAUUCGGAAGGUGGCUUUCUUUUCGGAGAAAGUGUUUAUAGCCCUAUACUUCUACAAUCGGAGAGAUUGAGGUCUGCAGCGUAGAUCCUUCGGGGUUAGAUACACUUGUGCUAAGUUGUAGCUUUUCAUAGACAACUUGUUGACUAUGUUUAGUCAUGCGGCUUACUCGCUUAUGCUAUUUUACCUACGCUUAGGAUGUUGACAAAAUGGUUUUAAACGACCCGUCUUGAAACACGGACC
rnacentral:rRNA from 1 species